GCUAUGGCCGCCUCCCAAGGACCUGCAUCCCUGCAAGAAGCUGCAUCCAACAGUCAAGGAAGAGGCCCCGCUGGGGCCUGCUCCAGUUCCUGCUGGGGAAAGCAAGUGGAGCUGCCCCUUGAAGAAAAGGGGGAUCCCACCAAUCUCAGGGGUUCUGUCCUAGUCUGCCGCCCUGGAUCAUCCAGCCUCUGCUGCUGGGAUGGGGACCAGAGGACGCCCUUCUUGGCUGGCGCUGAGGGUCGGGGAGUCCUGCUUCCCGGCCUAGCGGAGGGUGGGGGGGGGUUCCAGCCACCCCCCACUGGGCAGGGCCUGGCACCGCCCCGCCUCUCCAGGCUUGGCACUUGCACUCAAAAAAGAUGGCGCGGAAGACCUCAAGCGCGUCACGCGACCCGUCCGCAGGACUCUUGCGCGGCUCAUAUUCCCGCACACGGCGACCCAGAGCGGGAGGAGGAAGCAUGGACUGGGGGGCGGCUGUGGCCGGGGAGGCUCUUGGCCGCUGUUGUGUGGCUGCGCUGCUGGAGCUGCCGGGCGGGAUGCUGUACCCCCGGAAGAGACCGUCGCAGGAGCUCCAGGAGCUGGACGGCCUCUGGAGCUUCCGCGCCGACUUUUCCGACAGUGGACACGGGCUUCGAGGAGCAGAGAUCUGAGGGAAGGACUUCGACUGUCUGCUGCUGGUGAAGGACUUCAACCUGCUUUGCUGGCUUGGCACCAACGCCUUCUGCACCAGCCAUUAUCCCUACACAGAGAAGCUGCAGAUGUGUGACCGGGAUGGGAUUGUGGUUAUUGAUGAGUGUCCCGCUGUGGGCCUGGUGCUGCCAUGAGUCCCUGCUGUGCACCUGCUCCAUCUGGCCAGCCCAUGGGCCACACCGUGCCUCUGUCCCUUCCCUCCUGGCCCCCGGCAGCUCUUCAGCAAUGUGUCUAUGCAUCACUACAUGUGGGUGAUGGAAGAACUGGUGCACAGAGACAAGAAUCACCCUGCCCUGGUGAUGUGGUCUGACCAACGAGCCUGCGUCCUACCUAGAAUCUGCUGGCUACUACAUCAAGUGAGUGCCCCCGGCCUGUCCUGGGCUGGAUCGGGAAGGAGACCCUGGCAGGUGGCAGACGGGUGGACGUGUGCAGUCCGAGAUCAGCGUCCCAUCCCACCCCAAUGGGAGGGCCGUCCAUACCCGGACAGUUCAGGGAACCAGAUAUCCACCUACCCAAAUUGUGGUUUUCUUUUUCUAUGUUUUUGAGACGGAGUUUUGCUGUGUCGCCCAGGCUGGAGUGCAGUGGUGAGAUCUGGGCUCACUUCACCCUCGGCCUCCUGGGUUCAAGUGAUUCUUCUGCCUCAGCCUCCUGAGUAGCUGGGAUUACAGGCACGCAUGAGGGCAUGCACUUGGCCUGUUUUGUUUUUGAAAUGGGGUUUCACUCUGGUGGCCCAGGCUGGAGUACAGUGGCACGAUCUUGGUUCGCUACAGCCUCGACUUCCCAGGCUCAGGUGACCUUUCUGCCUCAGCCUCCCAAGUAGCUGGGUUUAUAGAUUUGUGCCACCACCACCACGCCCAGCUAACUUUCCCUUUUUUUUUUUUUUUUUGAGGAAGUCUUGCUGUGUUGCCCAGGCUGGAGUGCAGUGGCGUGAUCUCAGCUCACUGCAACGUUAACCUCCCAGGUUCAAGCGAUUCUCCUGCCUCAGCCUCCC
rnacentral:lncRNA from 1 species